rnacentral:rRNA from 1 species
UACGUAGGGUGCAAGCGUUGUCCGGAAUUACUGGGCGUAAAGCGCACGUAGGCGGCUUUGUAAGUUAGAGGUGAAAGCCCGGGGCUCAACCCCGGAACUGCCUUUAAGACUGCAUCGCUUGAAUCCAGGAGAGGUGAGUGGAAUUCCGAGUGUAGAGGUGAAAUUCGUAGAUAUUCGGAAGAACACCAGUGGCGAAGGCGGCGCACUGGCCUGGUAUUGACGCUGAGGUGCGAAAGCGUGGGGAGCAAACAGG